GAUGAACGCUGGCGGCGUGCUUAACACAUGCAAGUCGAACGGGAAAUAUUUCAUUGAGACUUCGGUGGAUUUGAUUUAUUUCUAGUGGCGGACGGGUGAGUAACGCGUGGGUAACCUGCCUUAUACAGGGGGAUAACAGUCAGAAAUGGCUGCUAAUACCGCAUAAGCGCACAGAGCUGCAUGGCUCAGUGUGAAAAACUCCGGUGGUAUAAGAUGGACCCGCGUUGGAUUAGCUAGUUGGUGGGGUAACGGCCCACCAAGGCGACGAUCCAUAGCCGGCCUGAGAGGGUGAACGGCCACAUUGGGACUGAGACACGGCCCAGACUCCUACGGGAGGCAGCAGUGGGGAAUAUUGCACAAUGGGGGAAACCCUGAUGCAGCGACGCCGCGUGAAGGAAGAAGUAUCUCGGUAUGUAAACUUCUAUCAGCAGGGAAGAUAGUGACGGUACCUGAUUAAGAAGCCCCGGCUAACUACGUG
rnacentral:rRNA from 1 species